GUAGGUGGCAAGCGUUGUCCGGAAUUAUUGGGCGUAAAGCGCGCGCAGGCGGUUCUUUAAGUCUGAUGUGAAAGCCCACGGCUCAACCGUGGAGGGUCAUUGGAAACUGGAGAACUUGAGUACAGAAGAGGAAAGCGGAAUUCCACGUGUAGCGGUGAAAUGCGUAGAGAUGUGGAGGAACACCAGUGGCGAAGGCGGCUUUCUGGUCUGUAACUGACGCUGAGGCGCGAAAGCGUGGUGAGCAAACAGGAUUAGAUACCCUGGUAGUCCACGCCGUAAACGAUGAGUGCUAAGUGUUAGGAGGUUUCCGCCCCCCCCCUUAGUGCUGCAGCUAACGCAUUAAGCACUCCGCCUGGGGAGUACGGCCGCAAGGCUG
rnacentral:rRNA from 1 species